rnacentral:rRNA from 1 species
GACGAACGCUGGCGGCGUGCCUAAUACAUGCAAGUCGAGCGAACCGACGAGGUGCUUGCACCUUUGACGUUAGCGGCGAACGGGUGAGUAACACGUAAGGAAUCUACCUAUAAGUGGGGGAUAACAGCCGGAAACGGCUGCUAAUACCGCAUAAUGCAUCGGAUUCGCAUGUUUCUGAUGCCAAAGAUUUUAUCGCUGAAAGAUGAGCUCGCGUCUGAUUAGCUAGUUGGCGGGGUAACGGCCCACCAAGGCGACGAUCGGUAGCCGGACUGAGAGGUUGAUCGGCCACAUUGGGACUGAGACACGGCCCAG